rnacentral:rRNA from 1 species
UACGUAGGGUGCAAGCGUUGUCCGGAAUUAUUGGGCGUAAAGAGCUCGUAGACGGUCUGUCGCGUCGGCUGUGAAAUCCCGAGGCUCAACCUCGGGUCUGCAGUCGAUACGGGCAAACUAGAGUAUUGCAGGGGAGACUGGAAUUCCUGGUGUAGCGGUGAAAUGCGCAGAUAUCAGGAGGAACACCGGUGGCGAAGGCGGGUCUCUGGGCAAUAACUGACGCUGAGGAGCGAAAGCGUGGGGAGCGAACAGG